rnacentral:rRNA from 1 species
GACGAACGCUGGCGGCGUGCCUAAUACAUGCAAGUUGAGCGAUGAAGCUUGGUGCUUGCCCCAAUUUGAAGAGCAGCGAACGGGUGAGUAACGCGUGGGGAAUCUGCCUUUGAGCGGGGGACAACAUUUGGAAACGAAUGCUAAUACCGCAUAACAACUUUAAACAUAAGUUUUAAGUUUGAAAGAUGCAAUUGCAUCACUCAAAGAUGAUCCCGCGUUGUAUUAGCUAGUUGGUGAGGUAAAGGCUCACCAAGGCGAUGAUACAUAGCCGACCUGAGAGGGUGAUCGGCCACAUUGGGACUGAGACACGGCCCAAACUCCUACGGGAGGCAGCAGUAGGGAAUCUUCGGCAAUGGACGAAAGUCUGACCGAGCAACGCCGCGUGAGUGAAGAAGGUUGUCGGAUCGGAAAACUCUGUUGGUAGAGAAGAACGUUGGUGAGAGUGGAAAGCUCAUCAAGUGACGGUAACUACCCAGAAAGGGACGGCUAACUACGUG